rnacentral:lncRNA from 1 species
UGGAUAUCCACUCAGGAUCAGCCUGGAACAGUCCUCUUUGGUGUUGAUCUUUCUUCUCUAAGAAUGAUCACCCUGUGAAUUUGAAUGAAGCUUGGAUCGCGAUCAACUCUUUAAUCUUUUUCUUGAUCUUUUUUUUCUUUUCUUCUUUUUCUCUUCUUUCCUUGAUUAUGAAGCAAUCAAGAUCUAAAAACCAACAAACAAAGAGGAUGCCCAAACUCCUUUUGGAUGUGGGAGAUGGAAGACGCCUAAGCUCCUUGGGCGUUGGAGCUAGA